CCUACGGGUGGCUGCAGUGAGGAAUAUUGGUCAAUGGGCGCGAGCCUGAACCAGCCAAGUCGCGUGAGGGAUGACGGUCCUACGGAUUGUAAACCUCUUUUGCCGGGGAGCAAGCGUGCGUUCGUGAACGCGCGUCGAGAGUACCCGGAGAAAAAGCAUCGGCAAACUCCGUGCCAGCAGGCGCGGUAAUACGGAGGAGGCGAGCGUUAUCCGUAUUUAUUGGGUUUACGGGGUGCGUAGGCGGGCUGCCAAGUCAGCGGUAAAAAUGCGGGGCCCAACGCCGUCGAGCCGUGGAAACUGGCGUUCUUGAGUGGGCGAGAGGUAUGCGGAAUGCGGGGUGUAGCGGUGAAAUGCAUAGAUAUCACGCAGAACUCCGAUUGCGAAGGCAGCAUACCGGGGCCCAACUGACGCUGAGGCACGAAAGCGUGGGUAUCGAACAGGAUUAGAUACCCGGGUAGUC
rnacentral:rRNA from 1 species